CUGGCAUUAGUCAAAAGAGUCCAGGGAUGCUGCUAAUCGUGCUGGAAUUCACAGGCUGGCACCCACAACAAAGCGGCGUCCAGCCGCAAACGUCAACAGUUCCCAGGUUGCAAACACACUGCGUUUAUCUCGGCAUAUGGCUGCCUUGUGAAAGACUACACUUCCCAGUCUCCCUUGCAGUAGGUAUGGCCACGUGACCACAUUCUGCCCAAUGGGGUGUCAGCAUAGGGCUGUGUGCGGCUUCCAGACGAGGACGCCCUGUGUUCGGAAGACCGUGUCCUCCCGGCCGAGAGCUGACCCUGGGUGUUAUGGCAGAAUGGCCCCAGCCAGACCAGCCGACCAAGACCUGGAGGGCUCUUCUGCAUUUUCUGAACACUCUGAAAAAAGAAUCGAAGCCCAACCAACCAAACAAACAAAAUCUCUGAACUCCAUCUGGCUCCGCGGCACGUGCCUGCUACGGUCAGAUUCACAGAACGCGGGCGCGAACUUGCUUCCAUUUAAUUAGCCAUUUCCUCCAGGUAUGUUCCCCGAGUGCUACGUGGGGGCAACUGCGAUACAAGGGUUGGGGAGACAGGCUUCGCGAAGGAGAGUGGGGGGCCCUUAGCGAAGGCAGGGGUGCCGCACUCAGUACCGGCACCGGCGUGGGCACCCGCCCCACUCCGGGCAGCAGCCCCGGCAGAGCUUUCUACACACUCAGGAGAGGAGGCUGCGACCCCGGCUCCUGUAGCCUCUGGUUACAGUUAAGGACAGAAUCUCAUCCCUACCCCCUUCUCUGCACACGCCAGGUGCUCAGCAGGGGAGAGGCAGCAGGGCAGAGCGGACACUACCUGGCUUGCUGAGAAGCCAGACUGGGCGCUGCCUGGGCCUCAACUGUCUUGACUAUAAAGCAAGAAUACGAAUGCCUA